GCUCAACCGGGGAGGGUCAUUGGAAACUGGGGAACUUGAGUGCAGAAGAGGAGAGUGGAAUUCCACGUGUAGCGGUGAAAUGCGUAGAGAUGUGGAGGAACACCAGUGGCGAAGGCGACUCUCUGGUCUGUAACUGACGCUGAGGCGCGAAAGCGUGGGGAGCGAACAGGAUUAGAUACCCUGGUAGUCCACGCCGUAAACGAUGAGUGCUAAGUGUCAGAGGGUUUCCGCCCUUUAGUGCUGCAGCAAACGCAUUAAGCACUCCGCCUGGGGAGUACGGUCGCAAGACUGAAACUCAAAGGAAUUGACGGGGGCCCGCACAAGCGGUGGAGCAUGUGGUUUAAUUCGAAGCAACGCGAAGAACCUUACCAGGUCUUGACAUCCUCUGACAACCCUAGAGAUAGGGCUUCCCCUUCGGGGGCAGAGUGACAGGUGGUGCAUGGUUGUCGUCAGCUCGUGUCGUGAGAUGUUGGGUUAAGUCCCGCAACGAGCGCAACCCUUGAUCUUAGUUGCCAGCAUUCAGUUGGGCACUCUAAGGUGACUGCCGGUGACAAACCGGAGGAAGGUGGGGAUGACGUCAAAUCAUCAUGCCCCUUAUGACCUGGGCUACACACGUGCUACAAUGGGCAGAACAAAG
rnacentral:rRNA from 1 species